UUUUUCAAGAUUCGAAGCUCUGCUUUUCUGAGAUAAAUCAUGGUUUUAUGUCUGAAAUCAUCACAUAGGUGGCUGGUUACAUAGAGUCCUGGAAAAAAGAGAUUGCUUUUGCCCAGGCAAGAAUGAGGAUGCAGCCUUAGUUUAAAUUUGGGGAAAUUUAAUGAAAUCAAAUGAUAUGCAAAAUAGUCUACUGAGUUCAAUCAAUGGAGCUUUCCCUUUCUGCGAAGUACUGGUCCAUUGUGUGCAGCAAACGUUAAUGGUCAUUGGUCAUAUGAUUUUUAAAGUGUUUAUUACAAUUCCUGAUGAUUUGUUUUCUUAGUCUUAUUAUUAAUGCACCCUAAUCAGAGAUAUUUAAAUAUCUCAUGGGACGCUUGUUAGUUUAUAUGUAAUAUGCAGCAUUUUGAAGAAAAACCCGGAGCAUGACCACCCCACUGGUCCUCACUCCCCACUUCUGCUCCUGUCACUAACCCCCAGGAGAGGAGCCACCUCCACCCCCAUGGAGCAGGUGUGCACUGGUUUUAGACUUUUUCUCACUUGGUGAUUAUGGCCUCUGCUUUAGGAAGGAGAGUACACAGGCCGAGUGCUGGAAGAAGAGGCCAUACAGUCUGUCACUCUGGACUCAGGCCCAGGGUCAGAUGGGAGACCAUGUGUGUGUGUCAUAAGUCUUGGGCAGUGACCGCUGGGGCCUCUCUUCCCGCUGCUUCCUGCUCUCCACACUUGCCCCUGAGGCCUGCGAUUGGGGAGGCUCCCCACCACCGCACAACCCUUCACUUUGAUGCAUCUGUGCGAAUAGCUGUACUGUACACGUGCAGUAAGGUUUCCUGGUAUUGAGUACCUCACUUCAUUAUGUCAUCUUCAACUGGAAGUCCCCAAAUUUGACUCUCAGAAUGUCAUAAGAAGAUGGACUCUUGGCACCAUGAAUGGAGGCAUCUGGAUACUGUGCCAUCCACCAGUUUCCAUCGCUGGAGUUUAUCUGCGAGGACUCGCAAAACACACAAAUGGAUAUCACUGCACACAGCACACCUGUCAGAAGUAUGCAUGAUUUGGGAAAGACUAUUAAAUUGGGGUAUUAGUCACACAUUAUUGUUUUCUUAUUUGAACCUGAAAUAAUCAAGGUUGUUAGGUGUCAAAAGAUAAAAAUGCUUACAUGAUGCAUUUUAAGAGAAAAUUAAUAAAAUUGGAGAACUCUUUAAAUGGGUAAGCA
rnacentral:lncRNA from 12 species